GACGAACGCUGGCGGCGUGCUUAACACAUGCAAGUCGAACGGAAAGGCCCUGCUUUUGUGGGGUGCUCGAGUGGCGAACGGGUGAGUAACACGUGAGUAACCUGCCCUUGACUUUGGGAUAACUUCAGGAAACUGGGGCUAAUACCGGAUAGGAGCUCCUGCUGCAUGGUGGGGGUUGGAAAGUUUCGGCGGUUGGGGAUGGACUCGCGGCUUAUCAGCUUGUUGGUGGGGUAGUGGCUUACCAAGGCUUUGACGGGUAGCCGGCCUGAGAGGGUGACCGGCCAAAUUGGGACUGAGAUACGGUCCAGACUCCUACGGGAGGCAGCAGUGGGGAAUAUUGCACAAUGGGCGGAAGCCUGAUGCAGCAACGCCGCGUGCGGGAUGACGGCCUUCGGGUUGUAAACCGCUUUCGCCUGUGACGAAGCGUGAGUGACGGUAAUGGGUAAAGAAGCACCGGCUAACUACGUG
rnacentral:rRNA from 1 species